rnacentral:rRNA from 1 species
GACAGAGGGGGCAAGCGUUGCUCGGAAUCACUGGGCGUAAAGGGCGCGUAGGCGGGAUGGCAAGUCAGUCGUGAAAUCUCUCGGCUCAACCGAGAAACGUCGGCUGAUACUGCCGUUCUUGAGGGAUGCAGAGGAGACUGGAAUUCCCGGUGUAGCGGUGAAAUGUGUAGAGAUCGGGAGGAACACCGGUGGCGAAGGCAGCCUCCUGGGCCAACACUGACGCUCAUGCACGAAAGCGUGGGGAGCAAACAGG